UACGUAGGCAGCGAGCGUUGUUCGGAAUUACUGGGCGUAAAGAGUGUGUAGGCGGUGCUCUAAGUUCGGUGUGAAAUCUCCCGGCUUAACUGGGAGGUGCGCCGGAAACUGGAGUGCUCGAGGAUGGGAGAGGAAAGCGGAAUUCCCGGUGUAGCGGUGAAAUGCGUAGAUAUCUGGAGGAACACCGGUGGCGAAGGCGGCAUCCUGGACCAAUUCUGACGCUGAGGAGCGAAAGCCAGGGGAGCAAACGGG
rnacentral:rRNA from 1 species